AACGCUGGCGGCGUGCCUAAUACAUGCAAGUCGAACGCUUCUUUUUCCACCGGAGCUUGCUCCACCGGAAAAAGAGGAGUGGCGAACGGGUGAGUAACACGUGGGUAACCUGCCCAUCAGAAGGGGAUAACACUUGGAAACAGGUGCUAAUACCGUAUAACAAUCAAAACCGCAUGGUUUUGAUUUGAAAGGCGCUUUCGGGUGUCGCUGAUGGAUGGACCCGCGGUGCAUUAGCUAGUUGGUGAGGUAACGGCUCACCAAGGCCACGAUGCAUAGCCGACCUGAGAGGGUGAUCGGCCACAUUGGGACUGAGACACGGCCCAAACUCCUACGGGAGGCAGCAGUAGGGAAUCUUCGGCAAUGGACGAAAGUCUGACCGAGCAACGCCGCGUGAGUGAAGAAGGUUUUCGGAUCGUAAAACUCUGUUGUUAGAGAAGAACAAGGAUGAGAGUAACUGUUCAUCCCUUGACGGUAUCUAACCAGAAAGCCACGGCUAACUACGUGCCAGCAGCCGCGGUAAUACGUAAGGUGGCAAGCGUUGUCCGGAUUUAUUGGGCGUAAAGCGAGCGCAAGGCGGUUUCUUAAGUCUGAUGUGAAGCCCCGGCUCAACCGGGGAGGUCAUUGGAAACUGGGAGACUUGA
rnacentral:rRNA from 1 species